rnacentral:rRNA from 1 species
GUGGGGAAUAUUGGACAAUGGGCGAAAGCCUGAUCCAGCCAUGCCGCGUGUGUGAAGAAGGUCUUCGGAUUGUAAAGCACUUUAAGUUGGGAGGAAGGGCAGUAACCUAAUACGUUAUUGUUUUGACGUUACCGACAGAAUAAGCACCGGCUAACUUCGUGCCAGCAGCCGCGGUAAUACGAAGGAUGCAAGCGUUAUCCGGAAUGAUUGGGCGUAAAGCGUCUGUAGGUUGUUUAAAAAGUAUUCUGUCAAAGAUUAGGGCUUAACACUAGAUAGGCAUAAUAAACUUUUAAGCUAGAGUUUGGUAGAGGCAGAGGGAAUUCCUGGUGGAGCGGUGAAAUGCGUAGAUAUCGGGAGGAACACCAAAGGCGAAGGCACUCUGCUGGGCCAAUACUAACACUGAGAGACGAAAGCGAGGGGAGCAAAUGGGAUUAGAAACCCGUGUAGUCC